GGGGGGGGGGGGGGGAGCAUGACUCAGCAGAAUGACUCAGCAAAAGGAGAGCCAGAUGUUAGCUGUUAGCUCUAAUAUCACAGUAUCAAUAUUGGCAGGAGAGCCACGUUGACUCAACCCCCAGGAGAUACCACAUGCUGUUUGACGGUCUAUUAUUAUAUCAGUGGGAAGGCUAGCUAGUAGAUGGCUAACAGUACCCUAAAACAGGGAAGGCUUAUGGCAAGCAGGUAGGUAACAGAACCCUCACACAGGGAAAGCUACCUAGCAGGUAGCUAACAGUACCCUCACACAGGGAAAGCUAGCUAGCAGGUAGCUAACUGUACCCUCACACAGGGAAAGCUACCUAGCAGGUAGCUAACAGUACCCUCACACAGGGAAGGCUUGCUAGCAGGUCGCUAACAGUACCCUCACACAGGAAAGGCUAGCUAAGGCCACAGAGGAAGUUGGAGAAUAACAUGAAGACCAGCUUGGCUGUUUGCUCUUUGACGCCACGUGAGAGGCUGUCAACAACGGGACAUUAUGUGACCUGACAGGUAGUCAGAGGCUGUCAGCUCCGCGUUGGAGAUGUGUCGGUCUGCUAAAUGACAGACUCAGCAUCGGGGGCUUGGGGGGUCUGGGUAUGACACCCCCAGCACUGGGAGGGAGGAGGUUGUGGAUUACAGAGGAGGGCUCAGACAGCAUCACAUGCGGGCCACCUGAUUCCACACAUUCUAGACGACUUAAGGUCUCAGGUCAGACUGGAGGCAGCAUGGGAAUACCCUACGUCCUGCGACCCCCACCUCGUCCUCAGGCACAAACCCGAGGUCUGUCAUCAGGGGGCUUUUUAGGUUUGUUUUCAAAUUCCUCCUUUAGAGAGGAGGGGAGAGGAGGGGAGAGAGGAGAGGAGGAGGUGAGUGGACCCCUCUGGUACCAAGAGGAUUGAGCUUUAGGAGGCUGAACGGGAUCCAUGUAGGAAGACUACGGUACACUGGAGAACUCUGUGGUCCAUGUUGUCAAUGUGUUCCUGUCUUCAAUGCAGGGCCCAGUGGUCUCAUGAGAGGCUAUAGGCCGGUCUGUGGAGGCAGGCGGCUGUCUGAAGUCAACUGAGCUCAUUUUUUAUCCUGUAACUGUUCCCUGGAGGUCAGUCUUAUUACUGUAGUGCUGUUCCCUAGACAACCACAGUGUUAUUACUGAGGUGCUUUUCCCUAGACAACCACAGUGUUAUUACUGUAGUACUGUUCCCUAGACAACCACAGUGUUAUUACUGUAGUGCUGUUCCCUAGACAACCACAGUGUUAUUACUGUAGUGCUGUUCCCUAGACAACCACAGUGUUAUUACUGUAGUGCUGUUCCCUAGAGGCCAAAGUGUUAUUACUGUGAUGCUGUUCCCUAGAGACCACAGUGUUAUAACUGGGGUGCGGUUCCCUAGACAACCACAGUGUUAUUACUGUAGUGCUGUUCCCUAGACAACCACAGUGUUAUUACUGUAGUGCUGUUCCCUAGACAACCACAGUGUUAUUACUGUAGUGCUGUUCCCUAGAGGCCAAAGUGUUAUUACUGUGAUGCUGUUCCCUAGAGACCACAGUGUUAAAACUGGGGUGCGGUUCCCUAGACAACCACAGUGUUAUUACUGUAGUGCUGUUCCCUAGAGACCACAUGGUAAUUACUGUAGUGCUGUUCCCUAGACAACCACAGUGUUAUUACUAUAGUGCUGUUCCCUAGAGGCCACAUUGUUAUAACUGUAGUGAUGUUCCCUAGACCACCACAGUGUUAUUACUGUAGUGCUGUUCCCUAGACAACCACAGUGUUAUUACUAUAGUGCUGUUCCCUAGAGGCCACAGUGUUAUUACUAUAGUGCUGUUCCCUAGACAACCACAGUGUUAUUACUAUAGUGCUGUUCCCUAGACAACCACAAUGUUAUUAUUAUAGUGCUAUUCCCUAGAGACCACAGUGUUAUUACUAUAGGGCAGAUCCCUAGACAACCACAGUGUUAUUACUAUAGUGCAGUUCCCUAGACAACCACAGUGUUAUUACUAUAGUGCUGUUCCCUAGACAACCACAGUGUUACUGUACUACUGCAGUGCUGUUCCCUAGAGGUCCCAGUGCUGUUCCAGCAGGUUUUGCACGAUGGCUAAAGUCUAUGUCUGAAUGGUUGUUACCUUUCAUUAUUUCAUCAUGUUUGACUCGAUUUAAACAAAAACAAGGUAACAAUAGAUUUGUGCAAAACAACACUCCCCUCCUCCCAUUGGUCCGUUCCCCGGUGGGUGUGCUGGGUGCGCUGCGUGCGGCGGUGUGUGAUUGGACGAGGGCCGAGCGGGCGAUGUCUGUGAGGAUAAGCUGAUCCAGAUGGUUAUGCUGCUGCAGCAUUCCUCAACACAACAGUGUGCUUCCAAACCAGUUCAGUCAGCAGGGAGAGGAGCCCCAGUUUAACACUGGUCCACCAGUUAACAGGCCGCUGGUUCACCAGUUAACAGGCCGCUGGUUCACCAGUUAACAGGCCGCUGGUCUACCAGUUAACAGUCCACUGGUCCACCAGUUAACAGGCCACUGGUCCACCAGUUAACAGGCCACUGGUCCACCAGUUAACAGGCCACUGGUCCACCAGUUAACAGGCCACUGGUUCACAGCUCUAUAAUAAAAGGAUCACAUUUAGCUGAUGCUACCUUCUUUAGUGGUCGUUCUCUGAUCUCGGUCUAGUUCUGGUUCUAUGAUAGUCUCUGGUCCCAGGUCAGUGGUCUUCAGUGGUUCUGGUCCCAGGUCGGUGGUCUUCAGUGGGUCUGGUCCCAAGUCAGUGGUCUUCAGUGGGUCUGGUCCCAGGUCAGUGGUCUUCAGUGGGUCUGGUCCCAGGUCAGUGGUCUUUAGUGGGUCUGGUUCCAGGUCAGUGGUCUUCAGUGGGUCUGGUCCCAGGUCAGUGGUCUUCAGUGGGUCUGGUCCCAGGUCAGUGGUCUUCAGUGGGUCUGGUCCCAGGUCAGUGGUCUUCAGUGGGUCUUGUCCCAGGUCAGUGGUCUUCAGUGGGUCUGGUCCCAGGUCAGUGGUCUUCAGUGGGUCUGGUCCCAGGUCAGUGGUCUUCAGUGGGUCUGGUCCCAGGUCAGUGGUCUUCAGUGGUUCUGGUCCCAGGUCAGUGGUCUUCAGUGGGUCUGUUCCCAGGUCAGUGGUCUUCAGUGGGUCUGGUCCCAGGUCAGUGGUCUCGUGGGUAUCAGCAGGUCUCUGAGGUGAGGUCUAAGACAUUGUUAGAGUGUCUUUACGUCUCCAGACGGAUCCUGAGUCAGUCUGAGAACAACUAUUGAUUACCAAUACAAUCAGCCUCUCAUCACCACGGUUAUAUUAUGGUCUGCAUCUCUAGGUGUGGCAUAUUAUGGUCUUUAUCUCUAGGUGUGUUGUAUUAUGGUCUGUAUCUCUAGGUGUAUAUUAUGGUCUUUAGCUCUUGGUGUGUUGUAUUAUGGUCUGUAAUUCUAGGUGUAUAUUAUGGUCUGUAUCUCUAGAUGUGUUGUAUUAUGGUCUGUAUCUUUAGAAGUGAUAUUAUGGUCAGUUGUUAUAUUAUGGUGUGUAUCUCUAGACAUUAUUUUAUGUUUGGUUGUUCUAUUAUGGUCUGUUUCUCUAGACGUUCAUAUUAUGGGCCGUUGUAGGGAUGUGACAUUAAUCACAUUUUAAUCUUGAUUUUGAUAUUUUGGUCGAACGAUCUCCAAACUAUUCUACUUUUUU